rnacentral:snRNA from 1 species
UGCUAGGGCAAUCUGGCUGUGACAUCCAGCACCCCACUGAUCAUCAGGGUUGAUCUGGCUGAUCUGGCUGUCUAGGCUGGUGUCCCUUCCUCCCUCAGAGCUCUAUUUGUGUCCCUCCCCGAAUCUGUGUGCUCAGUCUAAGAGGAUGGCUUUCCCAUAGUAGAGACUGACCUGUCAGUGAAGGGUAUAGGAGUAGCUGCGCUCCCCUGCUAGAACCUCCAAAGAAACUCUCAAGGUCCAAUUGCCUCUCUCUCUCUCUCCCUCUC